CCCUUAGAUGUUCUGGGCCGCACGCGCGCUACACUGAUGCAUUCAACGAGUUUCUUCCUGGUCCGAGAGGAAUGGGUAACCUUUUGAAAGUGCAUCGUGAUAGGGAUAGACUAUUGCAAUUAUUGGUCUUCAACGAGGAAUUCCUAGUAGACGUAGUUCAUCAGACUGCAUCGAUUACGUCCCUGCCCUUUGUACACACCGCCCGUCGCUCCUACCGAUUGAAUGCUCAGGUGAGCCAUUCGGACUUUCAUCAUUCUGGUUUCCAGUUUUGAUGAAGGAAAGUCUUGCGAACCUUAUCAUUUAGAGGAAGGAGAAGUCGUAACA
rnacentral:rRNA from 1 species